GAAAUUCAUCCCCUUGGCGCCUGUGUGUGGCUCCUGGGCAGGCACUCCACGUGGGCACCGCUGUGGUGCCUGCCACGCAUCCUGUGCUCUGCAAGAUCACAACCACCUGCGUAAGAACAUACCAUUGGGGAUCCCUGGUGGCGCAGCGGUUUAGCGCCUGCCUUUGGCCCAGGGCACAAUCCUGGAGACCCGGGGUUGAAUCCCACGUCGGGCUCCCGGUGCAUGGAGCCUGCUUCUCCCUCUGCCUAUGUCUCUGCCUCUCUGUCUCUCUGUGACUAUCAUAAAUAAAUAAAAAAAAAUUAAAAAAAAAAAAGAACAUACCAUUGUUUUGCCUUUUCCAGAGUUGGCCUUGCCCUGCAGCGCUUUGAGGGGCUGAGCCAGAGCCCGAUGGAGGCCGCAGCGCCAAGACCUUGGCAGCUCACACACAGUCAAGGAGACCCAGCUUCCCCUGAGAUGGUCCUUCAUGAGGCAGCAACAAUGACUGUUCAUACUGAAUCAUCUUCUAGUAUCUUCUGUGACAAAACAGGAAGUACACAGGGACCACUUCUCUAGCUCUGGCAGUUAACUCCCUGGUCAGGCUGCCUGCACUCAGGAACGUGCAGGUGGGCUAUGUCUGCAAAUGUGUUUCUGGAAGGGCUGGCCUUUGCGCCGGUACCUGUGCAUGGGCCUUGUCCAGUCCCCCAAGGGCCUGAGUGGAACGAGGUGGAGGGAGGUGAAUUUGCUGUCUGUGUGGGCUGUGACAUGCACCUGCUCCUGCCCUCAGACGGCGAGUCUCUGGUUCUCUGCCUCUGCAUGUGGCUGGAUCAGAGCACCGCAGGCGCUCUAGCUCAUGCACAACAGACCGAGGGACGUCCUGGCCUCCAUGAAGGCUGAGGUGGUUCCAGCAACAGGUCUCCUGGUGCACACGUGCCUCCUGCUGCUUGUUUCCCGGAGAACCUGCAUGAUGCACCUGCACACUGUAGGAAGGAAGACUCACCCUGAGAUCAGAUCAGAGAGGGUAUGUGAACUGUCAGGAUGCACAGUACAUGGCCUGUCGUCCAGCAAGACACAGAGCAGGAGCAGCGGUGUGCAGCAUAGGCCCCAGAGGAACAGAGGGGGCUGCUGUCAGUGAGGUGAGUGCUGCAGGGAGCUCUUGGACACGGACUGGGAACAGCUGAGCCACACAAGACACCUGGAUACCUGGACACCUGCAUGGCCUUUUUCCUGCUGUCAAACGUGAGCUGAGAGC
rnacentral:lncRNA from 1 species